GAUGAACGCUAGCUACAGGCUUAACACAUGCAAGUCGAGGGGCAGCAGGACGAUAGCUUGCUAUUGUCGCUGGCGACCGGCGCACGGGUGAGUAACGCGUAUCCAACCUUCCCCUUAGUAGAGGAUAGCCCGGCGAAAGUCGGAUUAAUACUCUAUGUUGUAUUUUGAGGACAUCUGACGAAUACCAAAGAUUUAUCGCUAAGGGAUGGGGAUGCGUAGGAUUAGGCAGUCGGCGGGGUAACGGCCCACCGAGCCGACGAUCCUUAGGGGUUCUGAGAGGAAGGUCCCCCACACUGGUACUGAGACACGGACCAGACUCC
rnacentral:rRNA from 1 species